GGAGACGUGACCGAGUGGCCGAAGGUGCUCCCCUGCUAAGGGAGUAUGCUCCAAAAGGGCAUCAAGGGUUCGAAUCCCUUCGUCUCCGCCA
rnacentral:tRNA from 1 species